ensembl:lncRNA LINC01795 long intergenic non-protein coding RNA 1795
AAAAACAGGAGGUAAAGAAAUAGCCAAUCAUCUAUUGCCUGAGAGCACAGCAGGAGGGACAAUGAUCAGCAUAUAAACCCAGGCAUCUGAGCCAGCAACAGCUACGCUCUUUGGGUCCCCUCCCUUUGUAUGGGAGCUCUGUCUUCACUCUAUUAAAUCUUGCAGCUGCACUCUCUUUUGGUCUACAUUUGUCAUGGUUCGAGCUGAGCUUUCUCUCGCCGUCCACCACUGCUGUUUGCCGCUGUCGCAGACCUGCUGCUGACUUCCAUCCGUCCAGAUCCGGCAAGGUGUCUGCUGUGCUCCUGAUCCAGCGAGGCGCCCAUUACAGCUCCCAGUCGGGCUAAAGGCUUGCCACUGUUCCCACACGGCUAAGUGUCCGGGUUCGUCCUAAUCAAGCUGAACACUAGUCACUGGGUUCCACGGUUCUCUUCCAUGACCCACGGCUUCUAAUAGAGCUAUAACACUCACUGCAUGGCCCAAGAUUCCAUUCCUUGGAAUCCGUGAGGCCAAGAACCCCAGGUCAGAGAACACGAGGCUUGCCACCAUCUUGGAAGCAGCCCGCCGCCAUUUUGGAAGUGGCCCACCACCAUCUUGGGAGCUCUGGGAGCAAGGACCACCUGGUAACAAUAGGCCAAAUACUGUGCUGAUAAGCUUGAAAGCCUGCCCUGAAUCCUCAUCUAUUGAUGGAGAUGGUGUCAUCUUGCCUUGAUUGUAUCCAGAAGCUUCAUCCCCAAGAUAAAGGAUGGACAUCUCUCCGAUGACCAGCUUCUUUUGCUCGACUCUAGAGAAGGUUGCUUUCUGCAUUCUGGCAACUGCCCUCUGUCUACAUGAUUAGACUCGUUGGUUGCAGUGCUUUCUGGAGUAAUGAAGGGAUCCAGUGCACAGGGUUUAACUUACUGGGCACAAUCUCUAAGCCAACUCUGCCUGAAUGGGUCCCCUGUUUUUUCUCUUCUGCUCUUGUUGAACCAUAUCUCUGUUCCUUGUGCUCCUGGGAAUUUCUUGCUCUGUAAGGGUAAAUAAGAACAUGCUAACCAAAUAAUCAAAACAAAUGGUCAUGAAAAAAAUGGAAACUCUCUCAAGGAAUAACAAUCAGAGCUGUCUGGUUGACAAGGGACAUUAUGGUUGCAAGAAGACCCUGAAGCAAGGAUUCUACAUCAAAGAUUCAGGGGCAAUCUGAGUUUGCAUUUAAGAUCCUUCUGCCUAUAGCAGUAGCUUAUAUGUUAUGUUCAAUUGACGUAUAAGCACUGUGAAGAAAUAUUCUAUUACAACCUCUUAUGACAUUAGCAUUGUAUAUUUCAGAAUGUAAUUGUAGACAGAAAGUUGGUAUAUUUAAUUCAAAUUAUGAUUAUUCUUUAAAAACAAAACUUGAAAAUUCAGUUUAUCUACAUAAUUGGCUUAAGUAUUUGUUGCAUGCCUAUUCCAUACCAAGCAAUGAGCAAGGUGUUAUAAAAUAAAACAUACAAAAACUA